AUACGUAGGGGGCGAGCGUUGUCCGGAAUUACUGGGCGUAAAGGGUGCGUAGGCGGUCUGGUAAGUUGGAUGUGAAAUACCCGGGCUUAACUUGGGUGCUGCAUCCAAUACUGUCGGACUUGAGUGCAGGAGAGGAAAGCGGAAUUCCUAGUGUAGCGGUGAAAUGCGUAGAUAUUAGGAGGAACACCAGUGGCGAAGGCGGCUUUCUGGACUAUAACUGACGCUGAGGCACGAAAGCGUGGGGAGCAAACAGGAUUAGAUCCCCUGGUAGCCCACGCCGUAAACGAUGAAUACUAGGUGUAGGGGGUAUAGACUCCCUCUGUGCCGCAGCAAACGCAAUAAGUAUUCCGCCUGGGGAGUACGGCCGCAAGGUUGAAACUCAAAGGAAUUGACGGGG
rnacentral:rRNA from 1 species